GGGGCUUGCCGGGACUUAGAGUAGUUGGAAGCUCAGUCCGCCGGUUGCCGCCUACGCCGCCUGCUGCCGCGUCGCGGUUACCAAGGGCUAGAAAAGGUAGUGGUAGGCGCCACCGUGGAGCCGCUCGGACAUCCCCGGGAGGGUCGUAGGCGCGCUGCCCGCGUCGCCGGGACGCAGCCUCUGCGGACGCCUCGGAGGCGGAAGCGACGACGGAGGCAGGUGCGGCUGGAAGCUUAGUUUGCGUGAGGAAUUAGGAGUCUCUUCACCCCGCAAAAGAGUUUCCAAAGGGGCGGCGGGAGCUCCAGCCCUGUUACAGCACUUACUGGUGAUUCUCUCUGGUGACUGUCAUCUAAGGUGUUAGUAAUGUUUUCGUGCUGUAGAGAACUCACAUUUGCUGAGUGUCCACGGUCGGCCGGGCUGUAUAGCCGUCCUCUCGUAGUCCCUUAGCAGCCCGGUCGGAUGAGGAAAUUAAGCUUUCCCAAGGCGGGAUAGCGCGGGAUAGAUAGCAUGUAUCAGAACCUGGUUUAGAAGCCAGGGCGUUUUAACGACCCUCCCCCCCUUGGUAUGUUCCCUCUGCCACUCUGCUUUUUAUUUACUUAUUUUUUAAAGUAUUUUAUUUAUUCAUGAGAGACACAGAAGGAGGGAGAAGCAGGCUCCAUGCAGGGAGCCUGACGUGGGACUCGAUCCCAGGACUCCAGGAUCAGGCCCUGGGCUGAAGGCAGCGCUAAACCGCUGAGCCACCCGGGCUGCCCUGCCACUCUGCUUUUAAUAGCUUUAGGAUGUAAGAGUAUUCUAGAUUUUUAUUAAUUCAUUUUUUUCAACAAUUUUUUUUUUCUUGAGAGGGGAAGUGCACUGGGGAGCGAGGUGGGCAAAGGAGCAGAGGGAAAGGGAGAGAGAGAUAUUUUUUUUUUCUAUUUUAAGAUCUUAUUUAUCUGAGAGAGAAGGCACAAGCAGGAGGGAGAGGGAGAAGUAGGCUCCUUGCUGAGCAGGGAGUGGCUGGGCUCUAUCCCAGGACCCUGAGAUUAUGACCUGAACCUAAGGCAGACAGAUGCUUAACCAACUGAGCUACCCGGGUGCCCCUGAGAGAGAGAAUUUUUUUUUUAAGAUUUUAUUUAUUCAUGAGAGACACAGAGAGAGGCAGAUUCCUCACAGGGAGCCCAAUGUGGAACUUGAUCCCUGGACCCCUAGGAUCACGCCCUGAGUCAAAGGCAGACACUCAACCUCUGAGCCCCCCAGUCCUCCCUGAGAGAGAGAAUCUUAAGCAGGCUCCACACCCAGUGUGGGGCUGGAUCUCACCACCCAGAGAUCACGACCUGAGCUAAAAUCAAGAGUCCACUGCUUAACCACCUGAGCCACCUGGCACCCUGUUUCCAUAAAUAUUUAUUGAAGUGUACUAAGGGAUACUGGAAGAGCAAGAUAGAUCUGUUCACUACUCUCUUGGGACAUCUAUUCUAGUGACCUAGACUUAUCACAUAACGGGAUUAUACUAUGAUCUCUUACAUUGCAGCACUUGUUCAUUUGUUUUUUUAAUCACUGUGAAUCCCUAAGUGUCAAAAUAUUGAACCAGUACUGAGUGCUUACUAUGUAGCAGUCACUGUUCUGGUCACGGGAUGUAUUCUUGAAUAAUAUGCGAAAUAUAGGCAAAAUACCUGUCUUGAUGAAGCUAACAUUUGUGUGAUAAUCAUUUUCACUAAAUAAUAUUAUACGAGAUUUUUUCACCUCUGUGAAGCAAUCCAGGUACCCGUAUAUCUUUUUGCUUUUUAUCUUUUACACCUUCUCGUUUUUCAUGACCCAGCUCAAAUGUCACUUGCUCUGUGAAACCUUUCCUGAUCCUUAUUUUUUCCUUCUUUGCAGACAGAAUGAAGAACUCCAUGGCAUUGAGUUUAUGGUUCAGUUUAGUUCAGUAAACACUCAUUGAACCUCUUCAAUGGGCAAGACCCUGUAUGAAGUGCUGGGGAUAAAGAUAUAGGUAGGACCUAGGCCUGGCCUUUGAGGGGCUCACAGCCUGGAAUUGGGAGUGUGAGGAGUGGGGAACAGACAGGUAACUACAGCAUGGUGGAGUGUUCCAAUUAAGAGGUGGACUGAGGUGGUAGCACAGAGAAGGGUCAACCUGAGGAGGGGGAGAUCCAGGAAAGCUGUCUGUAUGAGCUAGGCGAAGAAGAGGGGCAGAAGUGUUAUAGACCAAAGGAAUGGAGCAGCACAUGGAUGUAAAUGAGCAUCAUUACUGUGUGCGUGUGUGUGUGUGUGUGUGUGAGAGAGAGAGAGAGAGAGAGAGAGAGAGAGAGAGGAGACGUUACAAUUAACACUGAGAUUAGCUGCUUCACGUUUGAGAUAGAGACCCAAGGUAGCUGAAGAUAACUAGGCAGGCAGCCUUUAAGCUUGGAACUCGGACUUUCUUUUUCCUACCAUCCAGAUAAAGUUCAUACUUUCCUUAGGGUUACUUUCUAGACCAGGUAACAUGGGGAUUAUGUGCCUUUCCUAGCCCAUUUUUUUAAAUCCACACCUUCUCACCUGGUAUUCUUUAUUGGGACUUGGAAUUUCCCAAUGAAUUAGUUGUGUCUGGGUCUCUAUGCCCUCCACAGGUCUAAGUCAUCCUUUAUUUAUGCAUAGCGAGUAUCUUUUCCCAAAUUGUGUCUUAUCUUUCAACUCUGUCUUUGCUGUUUUUAUCAUACAUAGAUUUAUUUUGUAUUAAUUAUAUUAAAAGAUCCUUCCUUCCUGAUUUGUGAUUUGCACAUCUUAUUUAAGCACUGUAGCCUCACUUCAUCAUCACAAAAUUACUCUCUUGUUCACCUUCCUGUCCAUGUUUCUGUCUCAGUCUAUUUCUGGGAUCUUUAGUUUUAUGGGUUUUUUUAAGGCCCCAGCUGAGACAUAUUUUGGAUACCAGCUGAGACACGUUUUGGAGCCUACAUGAGUAGGAUGUAACUAAUGAGAAAGUUCAAGAACUCUGAAUGGCAGGCUAAGAAGGAGUGUAAUAUCUAUUUUACAGGUGAAGAAACAAAAAAAAAAGGAAGUCAAGGGGUCUUUCCCAAGGUUGAAGAUCAAGUAAGUACUAUACAGAUCAGAAUCAAGGUCCUUAUAUACUGUAAGUCGCUGGAGUCUUCUCCCAACAGUCAUCAUCUCUAACAUUCCCCAGCCAGCUAUUUACUCAUUCAUCCAUUCACCUAUGUAGCAGAUAGAUAUGAUUAAUCACAAGAGAGAUUUCCUGAAAGACAGAUUGACUGAAUGAUUAUCAAUCUUUCCCCAUCAAUCUAUCCAUUCAUCUUCCCAACACAUUUUUAGUGAAUUCUAGGUUCAAUGGUAGCUUCUGGAAUUAAAUAGGUGAGUAAGAUAUCAGGGGACCCACAGCAGGUGAGAAGUUUAUUAAGGGGAACAAACAAUUAUAAUAAAGGGAUAAGCAUUAUACUAGGAGAGGUAUAGAGUACUGUGGGAACACACAGGGCAUCCAACCCCUUUUGGGAUGGUAAAAGGUCAGAAAAUUCAUAGUGCCCUGUGUUGAACCAGAGGAGAUACCAACAUCACUCAUUUAUUCCACAGAUAGUUGUGGGAUCUAUUAUGUGCUAGGUGCUGUGUUAGGUACUGGGAAUAAAGAAGUGAGUGUCAUAGGUGCUCUUUUUCCUUUAAAGGAAUUUAGAAUCUAAUUAGGGAGAUCAGAAAUAUGUAUAAAAACCUUUGGGCCCUGGGAAUACAUCUUAUCCUUCAUUUGGCUCACACAUGUUUAUUGGGUAUUUCCUAUAAGCAUCCCAGAGGUGAAAGAGAGAUGGUGGAUUGGAUAUGUUUCCAGACUUGGAGGUUCACAGACCACUGAAGGAACCCCUUCAUGAUCAAUAGUAAUCUUUUGAGGUAGAAAGGGCUCCACCAUUUUCUCCAGCUAGAAAAAAAAAAAAAAAA
rnacentral:lncRNA from 1 species